GGAAUGUGGCUUAGUGGUAGAGUGCUUGCCUUGCAUGCAUGAAGUCCUGGGUUCGAUUCCUCAGUACCA
rnacentral:tRNA from 1 species